rnacentral:rRNA from 1 species
AUUGAACGCUGGCGGCAUGCUUUACACAUGCAAGUCGAACGGUAACAGGCCGCAAGGUGCUGACGGGUGGCGAACGGGUGAGUAAUGCAUCGGAACGUGCCCAGUCGGGGGGGAUAACGCAGCGAAAGCUGCGCUAAUACCGCAUACGAUCUCUGGCUGAAAGCGGGGGACCGAAAGGCCUCGCGCGAUUGGAGCGGCCGAUGUGAGAUUAGGUAGUUGGUGGGGUAAAGGCCCACCAAGCCAACGAUCUGUAGCUGGUCUGAGAGGACGACCAGCCACACUGGGACUGAGACACGGCCCAGACUCCUACGGGAGGCAGCAGUGGGGAAUUUUGGACAAUGGGCGCAAGCCUGAUCCAGCAAUGCCGCGUGCAGGAAGAAGGCCUUCGGGUUGUAAACUGCUUUUGUACGGAACGAAACGGUUCGGGUUAAUACCCUGGGCUAAUGACGGUACCAUUUAUAAGCUCCGGCUAACUACGUGCCAGCCGCCGCCGUAAUAC